AUCAGUGGUGCAGAAUCAGACUACAGGAGACAUGAUGAUCAUCUCUACAGUCUCAAAGUCACAUGAGGGUUUCUACUACUGUAAACACCCAGAGAGAGGAGAGUCUCCAAAGAGCUGGAUCUCAGUCAGAGAGAAUACAAGUGAAGGUGACGCCAUCAUGAACUCCAAACUGAAGAAGGGAGAAGAUCAAGAUGUGGCUUCUGGAUCUACUGAUGUGACUAAUGCUCAGAAAAAAUAAAAGACCAGAGGAGAAAAAUAAGAGAGAUGUUUCCAUAAAACAACCUGUGAUUAUUAUAACACUUAAGAUUUGAUUAUUAAUCAAAUCUAAUGCAUUAACAAAUCUUUCAAUGACCGGUUUUAAAGAUAGAAAUUCAGUACCAGUAAGAGUUUGGUGAUAGAGAAGAAGUGAGAUCAUCAAAGUUUCAUUACUGAGAGGGCAAUAAAUGUACUAAUACUUAUUAAUACUAAAUGAAAUUUGAUUGUAUAUAAAGUUUAAACUUUAGUAGUUUUGCAGAGGAAAUCAUUGCUGCACUGCAGUCUGUUCUUCAACUGAGAGUCAGAGACAAAGACAGAUGACCAUCUAGUAAAGGUCUUCAUGCCUUCAUCAUGUAUACUGAACAUUUAAGAUAUGUUUAAUGUUAAAGGACAAGUUCGGUAUUUUACACUUAAAGUCCUGUUUUCAGAUUAUUUAUGAUGAAAUAGAACGGUUUUGACUGAAAUUUCGACAUAUGCGGCUGCCCCGAGAAUUUUCA